AACCUUUGCAAUGUGCGCAAGCACGACAAGGUUAAUCCGAGUGUUUCCUGCUAAAGGAAUCUUUUGUUAGUUGUAAAACCACUGACGAAUAAGGGGUGGGCAAGUUCUGGUGUCAGCCGCCGCGGUAAAACCAGCACCUCAAGUGGUCAGGAGGAUUAUUGGGCCUAAAGCAUCCGUAGCCUGUUCUAUAAGUUUCCGGUUAAAUCCAUUAGCUCAACUAAUGGGCUGCCGAAAAUACUGUAGAACUAGGGAGUGGGAGAGGUAGACGGUAUUCGGUAGGAAGGGGUAAAAUCCUUUGAUCUAUUGAGGACCACCUGUGGCGAAGGCGGUCUACCAGAACACGUUCGACGGUGAGGGAUGAAAGCUGGGGGAGCAAACCGGAUUAGAUACCCGGGUAGUCCCAGCUGUAAACGAUGCAGACUCGGUGAUGCCCUGGCUUGUGGCCAGUGCAGUGCCGCAGGGAAGCCGUUAAGUUUGCCGCCUGGGAAGUACGUACGCAAGUAUGAAACUUAAAGGAAUUGGCGGGGGAGCAC
rnacentral:rRNA from 1 species